rnacentral:rRNA from 1 species
CCCACGUUCGGAUUGCAGCCUGCAACUCGGCUGCAUGAAGCUGGAAUCGCUAGUAAUCGCGGAUCAGAAUGCCGCGGUGAAUACGUUCCCGGGUCUUGUACACACCGCCCGUCACACCAUGGGAGCCGGGAAUGCCCGAAGUCAGUGGCCCAACCGCAGGGAGGGAGCUGCCGAAGGCAGGCCUGGUGACUGGGGUGAAGUCGUAACAAGGUACC